GUCCAGACUCCUACGGGAGGCAGCAGUGGGGAAUAUUGCACAAUGGGGGGAACCCUGAUGCAGCGACGCCGCGUGGGUGAAGGAGCACCUCGGUGCGUAAAGCCCUAUCGGCAGGGGAGAAAAGCGAACAGGUUCGCCUGGACGGUACCUGACUAAGAAGCCCCGGCUAACUACGGGCCAGCAGCCGCGGGAAUACGUAGGGGGCAAGCGUUAUCCGGAUUUACUGGGUGUAAAGGGAGCGUAGACGGCUGCGCAAGUCAGAAGUGAAAGCCCGGGGCUCAACCGCGGGACUGCUUUUGAAACUGUGUAGCUAGAGUGCAGGAGAGGUAAGUGGAAUUCCUAGUGUAGCGGUGAAAUGCGUAGAUAUUAGGAGGAACACCGGUGGCGAAGGCGGCUUACUGGACUGUAACUGACGUUGAGGCUCGAAAGCGUGGGGAGCAAACAGGAUUAGAUACCCGAGUAGAG
rnacentral:rRNA from 1 species